rnacentral:rRNA from 1 species
CCUACGGGUGGCAGCAGUGAGGAAUAUUGCACAAUGGGGGGAACCCUGAUGCAGCGACGCCGCGUGGGUGAGGAAGUACUUCGGUAUGUAAAGCCCUAUCAGCAGGGAAGCAAAUGACGGUACCUGACUAAGAAGCCCCGGGUAACUACGUAGCAGCAGCCGCGGUAAUACGUAGGGGGCCAGCGUGAUCCGGAUUUACUGGGUGUAAAGGGGGCGUAGACGGCGUGCCAAGUCUGGUGUGAAAGGCCGGGGCUCAAGCCCGGGACUGCAUUGGAAACUGGCAUGCUUGAGUGGCGGAGGGGCAAGCGGAAUGCCUAGUGUAGCGGUGAAAUGCGUAGAUAUCAGGAGGAACACCGGUGGCGAAGGCGGCUUGCUGGACGGUAACUGACGUUGAGGCUCGAAAGCGUGGGGAGCAAACAGGAUUAGAUACCCGGGUAGUC